rnacentral:rRNA from 1 species
UACAGAGGUCUCAAGCGUUGUUCGGAUUCAUUGGGCGUAAAGGGUGCGUAGGUGGCGCGCUAAGUCAGGUGUGAAAUUUCGGAGCUUAACUCCGAAACUGCAUUUGAUACUGGCGUGCUUGAGGACUGGAGAGGAGACUGGAAUUCAUGGUGUAGCAGUGAAAUGCGUAGAGAUCAUGAGGAAGACCAGUGGCGAAGGCGGGUCUCUGGACAGUUCCUGACGCUGAGGCACGAAGGUCAGGGGGAGCAAAACGGGG